ACCUUACAUGGAACCCUCAUGUGUCGUGUUACACUUGCUAAUAGACAUAUGAAAGUUUCGCCCACCUGCCCAUCAUGUUCGAACGGGCAUGAAGAUACUAAACACUUAUUAUUUUUAUGUCAAAAGGCAAAAGAGGUGUGGGAGAAACUGGGAUUGCACGAAGCCAUUAAAAAAGCCUGUGUGGUCGAUCGUGCAGGAGAGGCAGUACUUGAAUUUCUAAUUUUUAUGCCAGAACAUGAGCUAUCUACAGUGGGCAUACAGAAUGUUCGCAAACUGAUCGCUAUAACAACCUGGUAUUUAUGG
rnacentral:rRNA from 1 species